AUGAGUAGGAAGUCAAGCAAAGGAGGUAGGAGACCUGCAUGGAUGAGCAAGGAGCUCCUGGCAAAACUCAACCAGAAGAAGGAAAUAUACAGAAAGUGGAAAGGGGGACAGGCCACUUGGGAGGAAUAUAGGAACGUUGUCAGAGUAUGCAGGCAUGAGACGAGGAAGGCCAAGGCCCGUUUGGAAUUAAAUCUGGCUAGAGAUGUCAAGGACAGCAAGAAGGGCUUCUUCAAAUACAUCAGCAGCAAGAGGAAGACUAGGGAAAAUGUGGGCCCUUUGCUGAAUGGGGUGGGUGCCCUGGUGACAAAGGAUGCAGAGAAGGCAGAGUUACUGAAUGCCGCCUUUGCUUCAGUCUUUACUGCUCAGGCCAGCCCUCAGGAAUCUCAGACCCUGGAGGCAAGAGAGAAAGUCUGGAGGACGGRAGACUUUCCCUUGGUGGAGGAGGAUCGGGUUAGAGAUCAUUUAAGCAAACUUGCCACCCACAAAUCCAUAGGCCCUGAUGGGAUGCACCCACGAGUGCUGAGGGAGCUGGCGGAUGUCAUUGCUAAGCCACUCUCCAUCAUCUUUGAAAGGUCAUGGAGGACAGGAGAGGUGCCUGAGGACUGGAAGAAAGCCAGUGUCACCCCAGUCUUCAAAAAGGGCAAGAAGGAGGACCCAGGGAACUACAGGCCAGUCAGCCUCACCUCCAUCCCUGGAAAGGUGAUGGAGCAGCUUAUCCUGGAGGCCAUCUCUAAGCAUGUGGAGGACAAGAAGGUGAUCAGGAGUAGUCAACAUGGAUUCACCAAGGGGAAAUCAUGCUUAACCAAUCUGAUAGCCUUCUCUGAUGGAAUGACUGGCUGGGUAGAUGAGGGGAGAGCAGUGGAUGUUGUCUACCUUGACUUCAGCAAGGCUUUUGACACUGUCUCCCAGAACAUCCUCAUAGACAAGCUCAGGAAGUGUGGGCUAGAUGAGUGGACAGGGAGGUGGAUUGAGAACUGGCUGAAUGGCAGAGCUCAGAGAGUUGUGAUCAGUGGUGCAGAGUCUAGUUGGAGGCCUGUAGCUAGCAGCGUCCCCUAG
rnacentral:lncRNA from 1 species